GUUGUAUUAUACAAUUGCUCUAAUAAAUAAUGCAAUAAUAAUAAGCUGAUCAUAUAAUGAAUAUGUUCAUUGAAGAAUACAUUCCUUUAGCAGUGUAGGCUUUUUACGGUGGCGCACAGACAGCUUGUUGUACGUGAGGGUGAAGAAGGGAGUUUUUUUCUUUUGGGUCAAUAAGAUUAAGUCUAAAGGAUGAUGUGAGCAUGAGCAGUGAGCAGAUCAUUAUCCACUUAUACCCCCAUCAGACUCCUAUUUCUUUGGACUGUUUAGCGUUUCCUUGAAUGGCGACAUUGUGGUCUCCCUUUCACAGGGGGGUUGAGAGAAAGCACGGCACGCUGCACCCCUGGAGGGCAUCCUGUCUGAGUCUUGAAGCAGCAGAUCAGAGAGCACUUCAGGAAGCCAGAUGGACUCUAAGGGCAGACUCUCCAGACACACCGCCGUCUGCUAGGCAUUACGACGAGAGCCAGGAGCAGGAAGGAACCAGAAAUCUGCACGUCUCCAGAAGGGGCUUGUGGCUUUGCACGGUGAGAGCGAAAGACGUUUAUUGAAGCGGAUGUGAGAGGAAAACAAGAGGCGUCCGGCCCGCCUGUGACGGCUCAGUUUGUUCCGUUGGCCGCUUGCUCUCGGCCCCCUGGAAAAGUGCCUCCGCUCACCCCGGUUUGCCUUUCAGAAAUGCUCACAGAUCCCGAGCUCCGUCAGAGUUUGCGCCAGCCUGCCAAUCUACAGCUCUGGGCCGCCCUUCUCCGGGCUGCCACGUUUAAGCUGGACCGAGCCGCACAGAACCAGCUGGACAGAUCCCUUAAUUCAUCUGGGAGGAAAAUGGCUUUCGAAAAUGUGUGCAAAAACAAGCCAUUCCCAGAAUGAAUUAUCGCAGCAUUGAGGGCUGCUGUUAUUUUUCAGGUUCUUACAAAGACGGAGCAUGUUUAGAUACAUUUAUUUCCCGUGCAAAUUAUGUUACAUUUGAAGUCACUGGCUAUUACGCCUUUUCCUUUCUAGUUCGUCUGCUAUUGUAGAAAAAAAAAAAAGAAUCUCAAGGAGAUAUGUAUUGUGCUGGAUAAGGCUAUGGAUUUGUAAUCUUAAUAAAGACGAUUUGGAUUCCA
rnacentral:lncRNA from 1 species